AGGACGAACGCUGGCGGCGUGCUUAACACAUGCAAGUCGAGCGGAAAGGCCCUUCGGGGUACUCGAGCGGCGAACGGGUGAGUAACACGUGAGCAACCUGCCCUUAGCUUCGGGAUAGCUCCGGGAAACCGGAAUUAAUACCGAAUAUGACCAUGGCCGGAAUCGGCCAUGGUGGAAAGUUUUUCGGCUAGGGAUGGACUCGCGGCCUAUCAGCUAGUUGGUGAGGUAACGGCCCACCAAGGCGACGAC
rnacentral:rRNA from 1 species